GACAGAGGUGCCGAGCGUUAGGCGGAAUCACUGGGCUUAAAGCGUGUGUAGGCGGACCGUUAAGUACCUUGUGAAAUCCUGCGGCUCAACCGCAGAACGGCUGGGUAUACUGGCGGUCUUGGGCCACCUAGGGGCAGAUGGAACAGACGGUGGAGCGGUGAAAUGCGUAGAUAUCGUCUGGAACGCCGAUGGUGAAAACAGUCUGCUGGGGGUGUGCCGACGCUGAGACACGAAAGCCAGGGGAGCGAACAGG
rnacentral:rRNA from 1 species